AGAACACAGAAUAAUAACUGUCGCAGUGAUUUUUUUAGCGUUGUUAUAUUUGUAGUUUAGUAAACACAUUAAUGCAGAAUGUCUGAUACCGGUUUGGUAAAUGUUAUAGUUUUUUACAUGUGGUGACCUGUGAGGUUUAAUCUAUUGAUAAGCGGUAACAAACAUGGAUAUAAUUGAUAAAGUUAAAAAAGAACCUUCGGAAGAAAAUGAAAUGUUAAGGGCAUUACUUAUGGGGGAAGGGAGUAUAAAACAAGAGCCUCUUCAUCCAGAAGGAGGAAUAAAACAGGAACCAGUCCAUCCAGAAGGUAGAAUAGAAGAGAAUGAAAAGAAUGGGCAACAAGUCUUCGAUGAAGAGGAAACAAAUAUCCCUUUUUUCUGUGUAAAUAAUAAUCUUCUUGAUGUGAAAUCUGAAGAUAUUCUCAUAGAUGCCAUAAAUAAUGAAAAAAGACCAGUUCCAGCCUUUGUCGCAAACAAUGAUCCUCUGAAUAUCAAAUCAGAAGAUACUAAUUUAAUAGUUCCCGAGGAAUCUCCCAAGAAUGGCAUGGUAGGAUCAAUUAUUGAGGCCGAAGAGACCAUUAAAAAGGAAUGGGGCAGUGGUCUUGAGGGAGGAAAUUCAACAAAUGCAUCAGUCUCUGGAUCUGAAAAUGAGAAACUUUUCGCCUGUGAAAUAUGCGGUCUAGCUUUUGCAUGGCCCAGUAGAUUGAAGAGGCAUGCAGUAGUUCACAAAAGCUCCUCGGAGGUUCCCAUGUAUCAAUGUGAAAAAUGUCCAUUCCAAACUAAGCAUAAAUAUAGUAUCGAAACACACAAUUCCAAUCUUCACGGAACGUCAUCACAGUUGAAAAAGUUCUCAUGUGAAAAAUGCAAAUAUGAAACUAACAGCAUAUCAUGCAUGAAAAAACACUACAUUUGGAAACAUUCGGGGUUUGCCGAGAAGAAGACAGAGAAGAAAGAUCUCGAAUGCGAAUCUUGUGAUUAUAAGACCAAAAAAAAAUAUCUGUUGAUCGCACAUUUGAGAAUUCACCAAUCGUCGACAGAACUAGACAUGUAUAAGUGUCCUCUCUGCCCAUAUCAGUCCAAACAUAAAUGUGGCGUUUCAAACCACAUGGUGAGGCACAAAAGUGUCUCUGAAACUCGAAUGUUCAAAUGCGAACUUUGCUCCUAUAAGUCCAAAUGGAGUCAUUGUCUGAGAAACCAUAUUAAAGUUCACGAAGAGAAUUCAGAACAUGUGACAAUCCGUAAAUGCGAAAUUUGUGAAUUCACAACGAACAAUAUAUACAGCCUGGAAACUCACAUGAAAUCACAUCAAGCGAAACCUAAAAGAACUUUCACAUGUUACACUUGUGGACAUCAAACUAAAGAAAAAGGUCAUCUUGUACGUCAUAUGUUGGUUCAUAAACCUUUAGGGCAACUGGAAUUGUUUGAAUGUGCUGUGUGUGGCUUUCGAACAAAAACUAAAAAGGGUUUGAGGAAUCACAUCAUGACUGUCCAUGGACCUGGGGCUAAUAUCCAGAUCAAACCAAACUUUUAAAUCACCUCAUUUCCAAAAUGUCAUCGAAUGAAAUUAUAAAAGUGGAUCGGAUUUUCUUAUUCAACUAUACUAAGUGACAAAGAAAGUUGUCUUGAGGGAGGAAAUUCAGCAAAUGCAUCAGUCUCUGGAUCUGAAAAUGAGAAACUUUUCGCCUGUGAAAUAUGCGGUCUAGCUUUUGCAUGGCCCAGUAGAUUGAAGAGGCAUGCAGUGGUUCACAAAAGCUCCUCGGAGGUUCCCAUGUAUCAAUGUGAAAAAUGUCCAUUCCAAACUAAGCAUAAAUAUAGUAUCGAAACACACAAUUCCAAUCUUCACGGAACGUCAUCACAGUUGAAAAAGUUCUCAUGUGAAAAAUGCAAAUAUGAAACUAACAGCAUAUCAUGCAUGAAAAAACACUACAUUUGGAAACAUUCGGGGUUUGCCGAGAAGAAGACAGAGAAGAAAGAUCUCGAAUGCGAAUCUUGUGAUUAUAAGACCAAAAAAAAAUAUCUGUUGAUCGCACAUUUGAGAAUUCACCAAUCGUCGACAGAACUAGACAUGUAUAAGUGUCCUCUCUGCCCAUAUCAGUCCAAACAUAAAUGUGGCGUUUCAAACCACAUGGUGAGGCACAAAAGUGUCUCUGAAACUCGAAUGUUCAAAUGCGAACUUUGCUCCUAUAAGUCCAAAUGGAGUCAUUGUCUGAGAAACCAUAUUAAAGUUCACGAAAAGAAUUCAGAACAUGUGACAAUCCGUAAAUGCGAAAUUUGUGAAUUCACAACCAACAAUAUAUACAGCCUGGAAACUCACAUGAAAUCACAUAAAGCGAAACCUAAGAGAACUUUUACAUGUUACACUUGUGGACAUCAAACUAAAGAAAAAACAUCUCUUGCAUAUCAUAUGUUGGUUCAUAAACCUUUAUGGCAACUGGAAUUGUUUGAAUGUGAUGUGUGUGGCUUUCGAACAAAAACUAAGAAGGGUUUGAAGAAUCACAUCAUGACUAUCCAUGGACCUGGGGCUAAUAUCCGGAUCAAACCAAACUUUUAAAACACCUCAUUUUCAAAAUGUCAUCGAAUGAAAUCAUAAACGUAGAUCGAAUUUUCUUAUUCAAAUAUAAUCAACAAAUAAUGUAAAAUUUAAUUCAGUCUUUAAAUAGAUAUCUGAAAUUUG
rnacentral:misc_RNA from 1 species